rnacentral:rRNA from 1 species
UACGUAGGGUGCGAGCGUUGUCCGGAAUUAUUGGGCGUAAAGAGCUCGUAGGCGGCUUGUCGCGUCGUCCGUGAAAACUUGGGGCUCAACCCCAAGCUUGCGGUCGAUACGGGCAGGCUCGAGUUCGGUAGGGGAGACUGGAAUUCCUGGUGUAGCGGUGAAAUGCGCAGAUAUCAGGAGGAACACCGGUGGCGAAGGCGGGUCUCUGGGCCGAUACUGACGCUGAGGAGCGAAAGCGUGGGGAGCGAACAGG